UAUGGAAGGCAGCAGUGGGGAAUAUUGCACAAUGGGCGCAAGCCUGAUGCAGCCAUGCCGCGUGUAUGAAAAAGGCCUUCGGGUUGUAAAGUACUUUCAGUCGUGAGGAAGGUGUUAAGGUUAAUAACCUUAGCAAUUGACGUUAGCGACAGAAGAAGCACCGGCUAACUCCGUGCCAGCAGCCGCGGUAAUACGGAGGGUGCGAGCGUUAAUCGGAAUUACUGGGCGUAAAGGGCACGCAGGCGGUUAAUUAAGUUGGAUGUGAAAUCCCCGGGCUUAACCUGGGAAUGGCAUUCAAGACUGGUUAGCUAGAGUCUUGUAGAGGGGGUAGAAUUCCAUGUGUAGCGGUGAAAUGCGUAGAGAUGUGGAGGAAUACCGGUGGCGAAGGCGGCCCCUGGACAAAGACUGACGCUCAUGUGCGAAAGCGUGGGGAGCAAACAGGAUUAGAUACC
rnacentral:rRNA from 1 species